AACGAACGCUGGCGGCACGCCUAACACAUGCAAGUCGAACGGAGUAUGGAUUUCGGUCCAUACUUAGUGGCAAACGGGUGAGUAACGCGUGGGAAUUUGCCCAUCUGUGGGGAAUAACUUCGGGAAACUGAAGCUAAUACCGCAUACGUCCGAGAGGAGAAAGACUUCGGUCGCAGUUGGAGGAGCCCGCGUUGGAUUAGGUAGUUGGUGGGGUAAUGGCCUACCAAGCCUACGAUCUAUAGCUGGUCUAAGAGGAUGGUCAGCCACACUGGGACUGAGACACGGCCCAGACUCCUACGGGAGGCAGCAGUGGGGAAUAUUGGACAAUGGGGGAAACCCUGAUCCAGCGAUGCCGCGUGAGUGAUGAAGGCCUUCGGGUUGUAAAGCUCUUUCAGUGGGGAAGAUAAUGACGGUACCCACAGAAGAAGGACCGGCUAACUUCGUGCCAGCCGCCGCAGUAA
rnacentral:rRNA from 1 species